GGGUAAUACCGAAUGAGCCUAUAUACAUACGUGUAUGUAGGGAAAGAGGCUCAGGCCUCGCUUGUAGUUGAGCCUGCGGCUCAUUAGCUAGUUGGGAGGGUAAAGGCCUACCAAGGCGACGAUGAGUAGCCGACCUGAGAGGGUGGGCGGUCACACUGGGACUGAGACACGGCCCAGAGGUCCUACGGGAGGCAGCAGCUAAGAAUCUUCCGCAAUGGUCGAAAGGCUGACGGAGCGACGCCGCGUGGACGAAGAAGGCCGGAAGGUUGUAAAGUUCUUUCCUCAGAGAAGAAUAAGGUGAGGAGGGAAUGCCUCAUUGAUGACGUUAUCUGAGGAAUAAGCCCCGGCUAAUUACGUGCCAGCAGCCGCGGUAACACGUAAGGGGCGAGCGUUGUUCGGAAUUAUUGGGCGUAAAGGGCGCGUAGGCGGCUGAACAAGCCUGGUGUGAAAGGCCACAGCUUAACUGUGGGAGUGCGCUGGGAACUGUUUGGCUAGAGUUCAGGAGGGGAAGCUGGAAUUCCUGGUGUAGGGGUGAAAUCUGUAGAUAUCAGGAAGAACACCUGUGGCGAAGGCGAGCUUCUGGCCAUGAACUGACGCUGAGGCGCGAAAGCGUGGGGAGCGAACAGGAUUAGAUACCCUGGUAGUCCACGCUGUAAACGAUGUGCACUAGGUGUUGGUUGUAGAAAUGAUCGGUGCCGAAGCAUACGCGAUAAGUGCACCGCCUGGGGAGUAUGCUCGCAAGGGUGAAACUCAAAGGAAUUGACGGGGGCCCGCACAAUCGGUGGAGCAUGUGGUUUAAUUCGAUGAUACGCGAGGAACCUUACCAGGGCUUGACAUAUGCAUGACGGUCGUAGAGAUACGGCUUCCCUUCGGGGCGUGUAUACAGGUGCUGCAUGGUUGUCGUCAGCUCGUGCUGUGAGGUGUUGGGUUAAGUCCCGCAACGAGCGCAACCCCUGCUGUCUGUUGCCAGCAUUUCGGAUGGGGACUCAGACGGUACUGCCGGUGACAAACCGGAGGAAGCUGGGGAUGACGUCAAAUCAUCAUGGCCCUUAUGUCCUGGGCUACACACGUGCUACAAUGGCCGGUACAGAGCGACGCGAAACCGCGAGGUGGAGCAAAUCGCAGAAAGCUGGUCUCAGUACGGAUUGGAGUCUGAAACCCGACUUCAUGAAGUUGGAAUCGCUAGUAAUCGCG
rnacentral:rRNA from 1 species